rnacentral:misc_RNA from 1 species
AAAACGAAAAAACCACCCGGCAAGGUGGUUUUUUCGAAGGUUCAGGAAACCGGCAAGUUUCUGAACCUUGGUAACUGUCUUGGAGGAGACGAGUCACCAAAUCUGUCCUUCAGUGUAGCCGUAGUUUGCAUUGCACUUCAAGAACUCUAAGUCUCAUCUCCUCUAUCUCUGUUACCAAUGGCUACCGCCAGUGGCGUUUUGUCGUGUCUGUCAGGGUUGGAUUCAAGAGAGUGUUACCUGGUAUGGCGUGGUAGUCGGACUAAACGGGGAGUUCGUGCAGAUAGUCCAGCUUGGAGCG